GACGAACGCUGGCGGCGUGCCUAAUACAUGCAAGUCGAGCGGACUGGAGGGAGCUUGCUCCCAAAGGUCAGCGGCGGACGGGUGAGUAACACGUGGGUAACCUGCCUGGCAGACUGGGAUAACGCUUGGAAACGAGUGCUAAUACCAGAUAGGCUGCUUGAUCGCAUGAUCGAGCAGGGAAAGAGGCUAUCGCCUCACUGUCAGAUGGACCCGCGGCGCAUUAGCUAGUUGGUGAGGUAACGGCUCACCAAGGCGACGAUGCGUAGCCGACCUGAGAGGGUGACCGGCCACACUGGGACUGAGACACGGCCCAGACUCCUACGGGAGGCAGCAGUAGGGAAUCUUCCACAAUGGGCGCAAGCCUGAUGGAGCAACGCCGCGUGAGUGAUGAAGGCCUUCGGGUUGUAAAACUCUGUCUUCUGUGACGAACAAGCCUGUGAGUGGAAAGCUCAGGCCCUGACGGUAACAGAGGAGGAAGCCACGGCUAACUACGUGCCAGCCGCCGCCGUAAUAC
rnacentral:rRNA from 1 species